GCCUCUUUGGCUUAGUGGUAGAGCGUCGGUCUCGUAAACCGAAGAUCGCUGGUUCGAUCCCGGCAAGAGGCA